rnacentral:piRNA from 1 species
UCCACCAGUUUCAUUUCGA